rnacentral:lncRNA from 1 species
AGCUUGAUUAUAUGUUUAUAGAUCUUCUGUGUAUAAACUGACGCGGAAGGGCAAAAAAUAAUCUAACGACGCACUUAGAUGUUUUACGAAUGGUCUGAGAGGCAGUCUGUAAAUAACGAGCGUUUUCAAGUGCAACUUUACUAACGAAGGUUUAGUGAAACAGCUCGGAAAUGUAACGAUGUCGAUGUUCCUACGAAGGUUCUAACGAUGAACUUGGCUCUAAGAUGCUUUGAGAAACCGGGCCCAGUCUGUUAGAAAUGUUGCAUAGGACAACGAGCCCUGUCAAAGGAACCGCAAGUCCACCGACUCCUCCUCUGCCACGCCACACUCCCAUCACAUCUGUCCGUCGCAACCGCGACCUCGUCCUACGAUUACCGUUUGUAGCUAAACUCAGUAGCUGAAGAACAAACAGCAAUGAACAUUUCAUCUUCGAACCCAUCCAGUUUCCCGAUAGCGAUGGAAUUUAGGGCUACGAGUGUUUUAGAGAUGCAUAUCUCCUACAACAGCCGAAGAUGUGUCAAGCGUUUCCCACGCAAAAAGAACGGUCGUCGUUGGAGCAUGUGUCGAUACUGAAGGAUCGAAAGAAAGGGCCCGCUGCUCUAUGAUCAGUUUACUCCAUUCAAAUAUUUCCUUAACAUUAGUUCACAAUACUGACGACGGAUCAGCUCCUAGAGAGAUAUUACCACCUACGGCUGCAAAUAUUGAGGCGGCUUAUUAUAAUGCUUACCCAAUAACAAAUGCACUAAAUCACAAAUUUAGCACAUCAUUGCAUACAUGUUAGGCUACACAUCAUGAAAUAUGUAUUGAGACAAAUUACAGACAGUAGCAUACAAGUAGCAAAAUAGAAAUCAAUUGAUUGAACAUGAAAUUUCAAUAUGAAUUAAAUAGGCCUAUAGACUACUGUUUUUAGGCUAUAUUUUAAUGCGCUCAUCCCGGUUGUCUUUGUAUGCGUCGCUUGUUUGUUUCAAUUGUUAAGACAUUGGCAGCUUUGUACUUACUUGUAUUUAACUUUGUCCUGAAGUUAUCAGCGGUCACAGAGAGACGGAUAAACCAUGAUAUUCUAUGUUUAGCGGAGAUCUUCUGUGUACAAAGUGAAGCGGGAGGGUGAAAAAAACAGUGGAGUGCAG